UGGGGAAUAUUGCACAAUGGGCGAAAGCCUGAUGCAGCAACGCCGCGUGAGGGACGACGGCCUUCGGGUUGUAAACCUCUUUUAGCAAGGAAGAAGCGAAAGUGACGGUACUUGCAGAAAAAGCGCCGGCUAACUACGUGCCAGCAGCCGCGGUAAUACGUAGGGCGCAAGCGUUAUCCGGAAUUAUUGGGCGUAAAGAGCUCGUAGGCGGUUUGUCGCGUCUGCUGUGAAAACCCGAGGCUCAACCUCGGGCCUGCAGUGGGUACGGGCAGACUAGAGUGCGGUAGGGGAGAUUGGAACUCCUGGUGUAGCGGUGGANUGCGCAGAUAUCAGGAAGAACACCGAUGGCGAAGGCAGAUCUCUGGGCCGUAACUGACGCUGAGGAGCGAAAGGGUGGGGAGCAAACAGGCUUAGAUACCCUGGUAGUCCACCCCGUAAACGUUGGAACUAGUUGUGGGGUCCAUUCCACGGAUUCCGUGACGCAGCUAACGCAUUAAGUUCCCCGCCUGGGGAGUACGGCCGCAAGGCU
rnacentral:rRNA from 1 species